UCUUCCUCAUCCUCUCCAUCUUGCUGCCGUGAACUACUUCUCUCUCCUUUUCAUCCUUUCUUGCGUGCGACACCUCCAACAGCAACUGAAGAAGACCCAGCUGCUUCCUUCGAAAAUUUUCCGAGCGUCCACCAAGCUACCCGAGAAGCUCAGCAUCCACCGAAACCGAAGCUGCUCCAUCGUCCACGCCAGCCUCCACUACCGUUGGUCCCCUUCGGUCAGAGCUUUCCUCGAUGGCCUCGCUUGUUGACUAAGCGAUCUGGCCAGCAGCAAGCCUGAAGAAGCCCACGAAACCUCAAGUGGAAGCUGCUGUCGUUCGUUGCUUCUCUGCGAAGACUCCACCGAACGCCAUCUUCUCUCCAUCCGCGGCCAGCUGUCCGCGAUUCUGCUUCCCCGGUCAACCAUCGAAGACCUCAGCAAGCACUGAACCAUUUUGUUGACUGAAGCUCCUCACCGCUUCGUGCGUCCAGCGAAGCAGCGUCCGCGAGCAGCUUCCGUCUUCAAUCUUCUCCAGCCCGUCGACCCAGCGAAGCCACGAAGUCUUGGACUGCCGAAACAUUGAAGAAACUCCAGUGCACGAAGACCAAAGCUGCUGCUCGCUCAGCUCACGUCUUCAAUUGAAGCCGCGCUCGAAUCCAGCUGCCAGACGCCCUUCACUCGGUCAACGAAGCAGCGAGUUCUCAGCUGGACGCCUCCGUGUUGACCCAGCAACUCACGCCUGCUAUUCCAUUUUCGUGAUGCCAUCUCCAGCAGCCCAGCCCAUGAGGCCAAUGACUUCAGCCCAGCAAUUGAUUAAUUUCGGCAGCCCAAUAACAGCCCACUUUGCAGCCCAAAUGAUCAGCAUUUUGGUCCAUCAAGCAGCCUGCAGUUUGACAUCUUGAAGCCCAGCAAUUUCCUUGUGAGCUCAGCCCAUCAUCAAUUAGAAUUGAAGCCCAGCCUUUUUGAGGCCCAGUUUCCAGCAACCAAUUGAAGUCCAGCCCACCAAUUUGAAGACCAAGUUAGUUCAGUCCAGAAAUUCAGCAGGUCCAGCCCAUUCCAGUGCAAGAACAAAUCUCAAUUGGGCUGAGAUUUGUUGGGCCAAGCUUAAGGCCCGGUCUAAGUCCGCCGGUGUCGUCGAAAGUCCAAUUUCGACCGCCGUCGCGUCGCCGUUGCGGUGAUUCGAUCCCCGCUUUUGAUCAAGUGAGUUUUACUCACUAAUGCUUUAUUAGUUUGCUAAUUAUGCUUAAGGUUGGUUAGAUUUAAUUAAGUGCAAUUAGGUGGUUAGAUUAGGUUAGAAAAAUUAAUUUAGUGACUUAAUGAUGCAUGUUAGGUGGUUAGACUUAGCUAUUAGCAAGUAGAAAUGUUUGGUUAUUUAUUGAAUGCAUCUCGGGAUUUUUCCCGACCCGUUUUGGGCUCCAAUAAGGCAAUAUGGGCCUAAAUUGGAUUUUUAAUGUUUAUUUAUUUAUUUUCGAAAUUUAUUUAUUUAAUUAUUUAUUUUUCCGGAAAUUCAACCGGGAUGGCCGGUGACCGGAAUUUCGUGCCGAUUGUCGUGGUGCAGUCCGUUUAUUUAAUUGAGCUUCAAUUUUUAUGGAAUUGAUUUAAAUUGUGAAAUUUGAGGAAUUGUCCCAAAUUGUUUGUUAUUGAGUAUUUGAUUGGUAAUGGCCGAGCAUGAGUAUAUAGCGCCAGUACGUUGAUGGGCUAUAUAGUAGGAGAAUGGUGAGAGCUAACUGAGACAUUAUUGGUUGAGACCAAUCAGGUACAAUAUUAUGGGACAUACGUGGUUCGGUGAUUGGAAGUAUCACUGGCGAAAACGGCGCCUUAAAGAACGCACGUAAAUGACUAUAGACAAACGUGGUUCGGUGGUUAUGGGAAUAUCACUGGUGAAAACGACGCCUUAAAGAACUCACGAUGUUGUCUAUAGCCGAUGUCACCUUGGCGAAAACGGCGCCCUAGAAAGGACACGUGGUUCGGUGAUCGAGGUUAUCACUGGUGAAAACGGCGCCUUAAAGAACGCACGGUGUCGGUGAUCGGUAUGUCAUUGGCGAAAACGACGCCCGAGAAACACAUGUGAUUUGGUGAAUGAGUACACCACUGGGAAAUCGUGGUAUGAGUGGGAAUGACCUAGAAAGGGUCUGGCUGACAUGUAAUCGACUUAGUCGAUUGACCAGUGCUUGAUCGAAUGUCGUGAAUUGUUUGAAUAUCUGUGUUUAACCUUGAAUUGCAGGUUGGAACUGAGGCCAAGGUAAGUCCUCUGACUCGUGUUGUGCUUAGGCAACCGUAUGGUGUAUUAGUUUACUAAUCGAGUCGUAGGGGGUAGGACUCGCUGAG
rnacentral:lncRNA from 1 species